GGAGGUAUAGUUCAUUGGUAGAGUGUGUGCUUAGCAUGCACAAGGUCCUGGGUUCAAUUCCUAGUACCUCCU
rnacentral:tRNA from 1 species